rnacentral:tRNA from 1 species
GGGGUUGUGUCUCAGGGGUAGAGCACUCGCCUCACAUGUGCGAGACCCUGGGUUUGAUCCUCAGCACCACA